CAACAUGAAGGCAGCAGGACAACGUGGUGAAGUUGGGCAAACAUAGCUAGCAGCUACCCAAACCGACAGCGCAUACAAACGGGGAGUGACCAGUUCAACGGCUCCUUGAGAACAGGCAGCUGCGGGCCAUUGUGGAUGAAGUUGAACUCAGGACUGACCUCUCUGCUUGAACGAGUGAAGUGAGCGUGAGCAGGGGCUGGAGGAGGCCUAGUCAAGGCUUGUAGAGGCCCCGUCGUCUUGGGGUCAUUAUGCUCAGCAGAUCAUUAGGCUCUGAAGAGGAGGCACACGACACUGCAGCCACAACCUCUCAGCUGUGUUGCCACCCCCUCCUCACCCGACC